GGGGACAUGGUUUAGGGGUAUAACGUUCCCUUCGCAUUCUUACAAUCCUUGGGAAAGGUCCGGGGUUCGAUUCCCCGUGUCUCCA